rnacentral:rRNA from 1 species
GAUGAACGCUGGCGGCGUGCCUAAUACAUGCAAGUCGAGCGAACAGACGAGGAGCUUGCUCCUCUGACGUUAGCGGCGGACGGGUGAGUAACACGUGGAUAACCUACCUAUAUGACUGGGAUAACUUCGGGAAACCGGAGCUAAUACCGGAUAAUAUAUUGAACCGCAUGGUUCAAUAGUGAAAGACGGUUUUGCUGUCACUUAUAGAUGGAUCCGCGCCGCAUUAGCUAGUUGGUAAGGUAACGGCUUACCAAGGCAACGAUGCGUAGCCGACCUGAGAGGGUGAUCGGCCCCACUGGAACUGGGACACGGUCCAGACUCCUACGGGAGGCAGCAGUAGGGAAUCUUCCGCAAUGGGCGAAAGCCUGACGGAGCAACGCCGCGUGAGUGAUGAAGGUCUUCGGAUCGUAAAACUCUGUUAUUAGGGAAGAACAAAUGUGUAAGUAACUAUGCACGUCUUGACGGUACCUAAUCAGAAAGCCACGGCUAACUACGUGCCAGCAGCCGCCGUAA